AACGAACGCUGGCGGCAUGCCUAACACAUGCAAGUCGAACGGAUUAGAGGGGCUUGCUCCUCUAGUUAGUGGCGAACGGGUGAGUAAUGCAUCGGAACGUACCGUGUAGUGGGGGAUAACCCGGCGAAAGUCGGAUUAAUACCGCAUACGAUCUAAGGAUGAAAGCGGGGGAUCGCAAGACCUCGCGCUAUACGAGCGGCCGAUGUCGGAUUAGCUAGUUGGUAGGGUAAAGGCCUACCAAGGCAACGAUCCGUAGCGGGUCUGAGAGGAUGAUCCGCCACACUGGGACUGAGACACGGCCCAGACUCCUACGGGAGGCAGCAGUGGGGAAUUUUGGACAAUGGACGCAAGUCUGAUCCAGCCAUGCCGCGUGAGUGAAGAAGGCCU
rnacentral:rRNA from 1 species